UUUAGAAGGAGUGAAGCUAUUAAAAAAAUUGCAUCUGCAAACAUUUUAUGACCAUAUAUCUUCUAUCGUUUUUGUCAAUAUUUUACAUAUUUUUUAAGAAUUACAUACUUAUAUAUAUAUAUUCAUUUUUUCUCUUUCUACUCGUCAGAUUAUCAUGUCCUGAUAUAUAUCAGGACAAGUAAUUUAUGCUGAGAGAUUGUAACGUGUUUUCAUGUAUAUUCAGGCAAGUAAUUUAUACUUUCAUGUAUCAAUGAGAGAUCUAAAAACAAAAACGUUGCAAUCACAAGAGUUGUACACACCGAGAAAGGGAAUUCUACACACAUACACAUUCAUGCCCAUAGUUAUUUACUCAUGAUAUCAGAUCAUUAUUAUCAUCUAUGCGGUUGUUAUAACAAAUCUGGUAUGUUUUUUUCUUAGUUAUGUUAUUCUUAUAAUCUCUACCUUAUCUUAUAAUUCUAAUUAGAAAAGUGUAUUCUCUUUUAGUUACGAGAUUUCAAGUUAAUAAUCUUGAAUGAAAAUAAACGUGUUAAAAAAUAUAAGUAAGAAGUUUAGAUCUUAUUCGAUCUUGAAAGAUCCAUAUAUGCUUACAAAAUCUCUAAUUAAAUUUUAUAAUUUAAUCUCAUUAGUUGUAAUUAUUUAUUCUAAAUGAUAUCAAAUAUUCACAGUUUCUGUAUCAUUUACAAUUUUCUUAUUAAAUUCAUCGUGGUGAUAAAAUAAUUACAGGAAAUAAUGAAGAAAAUGCUCCACAAUAAAUCCGUCCAAAUUGCGGCGGUCCAGUAUUACAACAAAACACGGUAACUUUGGGAUACAUAUUGUUAAUUAGUUUUUGUGUCGAUCAUUUCGCACAUAAAAAAUCUAACCCAAUAUAUCAAUGUUCUUCAACUACUAUAAUAGGUCUGAACUUAGCCGUACACCUGCGCAAGAGCUCGGUGGGUAUUUUGGUAAAUUUUAUUAUCCCGAUGGAUAUUUUAAUUGCACAUUUAUUUAUAUAUAAAUAUAAAUAUUUAUAUUUAUUUACAUCCACAUAGCAGCAAAAAAUAAUGAUACAGAACUAGAAAAUAAUUGUAUAUUCUGGUGUAUUAGGGCUAGGGGUACUGAUGCGUUGCCAUGCAAAAUGAUUGGGAUGAAAGGGACCGCUAGUUACACAUAUUGCAGAGAGUUUAUAAUAUUUGGUGUUGGCGAAGGAUUAUAUGGAGCUGCUGAUGCCGACAACUUCUUGUUGGGACUUCUCGAGUAUCACAUGGAAUUUUUUAUAUGAAUCCUCUUCUUUUAAUAUAUUAAUUUAUUAGGAAUCAUGUAUUAUUUUUUAAGUAAUGAUUUAGGAGCACUGGAGAUUUUUUGUAAGUCACUUCCCAAAGGAACCAUUUUAUUAUUAUUGUACAUAUGAUUGUAAUAAAAUGAUAUUUUAUAAUUAAACUUUUGUUUAAUUAAAUAAUGUUAAUAGUUUAAUAAUCAAAUUAAGUGAUUAAAAAUUAUAUAAUGAACUUGGAAUUUGAAUAUAGAUAGAAAUCGGGAUCCAGGAUUUUAAGAAUUUGUCGGUGGGGUUAUUUGGAUUCAUCUUUUGACAAAAAAAUUCAUAUAAAUUUUGAAUAUUAGAUCAAUAGGCAAUGUUUGAUAAGUGAAGAAUACAACAAAUAAGAUACGUUACUUGUUUAUAUAGAAGAGUAGACUUAACCGUUAUAAAUUUAUACGUUAAUAUCUAUUGUUAAUUAAUAUUAUAAUAUUAAUUAUACUGUUGAUAUUAUAACAGCAAGAGAAACUCAGAUAAUAAAAACACUUUGCAUGAUGUGUGUUCAAUGCAAAGUGAUGUUGCAACUUGCAUGGUGUAUAGUAAUGGAGAAAGGAUGAUCAAUUUGUUUGGUUUUUUUAUAAUUUAAUUUGUUUGUUUUUUAUUUUUAUUGUAUCAAUGUGAUUGUUUCCGUUUUUGUGAAAAAAGGGUCCUUUCAAAUUUUUUGUCAAAUACAUUUUAAUUUAAUUAAAUUUAUAUGAGGUACUGUACUCUUUUAAUGAAAAAAUAAAAAUAUUUGAUUAAACUAAAUUAAAGUAUAAAAUUAUUAAAAUUUGAUUAAAUAAAAUAACCGCCCCACCUGCGAACCGGUCACGUCGGCCGGAGCCUGACUCGGGAUUGGAAUUCGGAAACUCCGUAUCCAUAUUCAAGCAAGACACUACUCUAUUCCAAUUUUUUCCAAAAACCUUUCUUUUGGUCAUAGCUCAAUUCCAAUCAUAUUGCCUUCGCCUAAUAUAUAUAUCUAGUGUUUAAACUUUUUCAAUCACUAGCCAAUGUUCUCAAAAACCUUCUUUUGCAAUGAAUCAGGCUACUUUUGCAGACACUUUACAUUCUAGCUUAUGAGUUUGUAAUCGUGUUUAUCUGCAAUGCAAAGAUCUUUUUUAAAUCAAUUUUAAGAAUAUUGCUACCAUGCUCAGCAUUUCUUAAGUAACUCACAAGUUGGAUCGACAACAUGGCAAUUUCAACUCCUUCAUGGAACUAAGAACUGAUCAGCAACAGACUUCGGUUGUUUGUAUAGGACUUUCUGUUCUAAUCUCAUUCCCUGUACGUGACAUGCUAAUAAUUGUUGAAAUUCAAACAAUUCAUAAGUUUUGGUUUAGGAUUAAUUGUCAUUAGCACGGUAAAGUGAGACAAAAUAGUCCCAUCUCAAGAUUUGGUUUGGGAUUACAUAGUUACUUGUAGUGAAAAUUAGAACAAGUCGGCCCGUAAUAAACAUAGCCUUGAGAUUCUUUGAGUAGACGCUGAUCCUGGACCAAAGACCAAUGUGUUAUUUCUCUGAUUAAUUACUUUGAAUUUCACUGGUUUCCACAUUUCACUGAGUUUAGAGACAUGAGAAUUAUACUCGUAAACGAUCCUAGCCGUGAAUGAGAGUAGGAGCAUAGUAAUCUAGCAGUGGCUAUGAUUUAAUAAUUCUCAAUAUAAAAACUAUAGUUAGUUGUAGUUUGUCAUUUCUUUAGAAACUGAUAAAAGUCGUUUUAUAAGUUUCUCAAUAGUUAGUGCCUGAGGAACUUACAAUCACAAGCCAAACAUAAAAAUAUGAAGCAGAAGUUGACAAUGACACAAUCCCGUAUGAAACGGAAGCCUUGAAGUUCUACAAUCAAAUAACAGUCAGUUUUCUUUUGAAUGGUAUGUUUUGCUUUCUCUAAAAUUAAACCAUGGAUCAUUGUCUUUGUUGGAUUCUUUUGAUCUUUCUCUGUUUUCUGGUUGCCUUGAUAUAUAAUUCAUAGAAUCAAAACUAUGACUGGUGGGUAAACACGUCUGAUCCUGCCGACAUGCUUCUUCUUCUGUGUCAACUUCAACACUAAGGAGACUGAUUCUGCUUCCCCAGUGGAGUUGUUUAUCCAAUUGCUAGAAAUUUUACUAAGAAUACUUGAUCCAACAAUGCACCAAUAUAAUUUAUUCAUGAUACAGGUUCAGAUUAUAUGUUGAAUAUAUUAUUUUUGAAAAAAUGAUAUUGAUUAAUUUUGAAAAUGUUGGACAGACUUAAAUGGAAAAAACACCAAAACAUAUAUUAUUUUUAAUAUUCAAAAUCCAAAACUCGCAACAGAAAAAGAGGGUGAUUUUUACAUGUUAAAAUAAAAAACAACGGAAGUUACAAAACUGUGAGCGUUGCAAAACAAUGGGCGGUUUUAAUCUUGUGGGCGUGCAAAACUAUGGGCGGUUUUAAUCUUGUCCGUUCAGACAAAACAAAAACGAACGUCCUAGAUCUUUAGAUGGCAUCUUCAAUCGGGUAUAUAAUGAAAGGGGAACAUAAAUUAUUAUAUGCAAAUUUCAGAGUUCACAAGGAGUGAGAUAUAAAUUUUUUACAUAUAGACACUCAAGUACAAGCAUUUUAUUAUCACAUAUCGUUUAUUUAAUUUUUCAAUAUUUUACAUAUUUGAAAGAGUUAGAUUAAAUAUAUUAAUUUAUUUUUUUCUCUCCAUUGUCAGAUGAACAUGUUAUAAUAUAUAUAUCAAGGCAAGCAAUUUUUACUCCCAAAUGAUGCGGAGAGAUUUUUACGUACUGUUAUACGGGCAAGUAAAUUAUACAUCCAUCACGAUCCAAUCACAAAAAUUAUACACACCCAGAAAGAGAAAUUCUACACACAUACAUAUGCGUCCCUCUAAUUAUUUAGGCAUGAUAUCAAAUCAUGUUAUUAUUAUCUAUGCGGCCCUUGCAACAAAUAUGGUAUGUUAUUUUCUUUAUUAUCAUAUUCUUAUAAUCUCUACCUUUUGUUAUAAUUCUAAUUAACAUUGGUGAUGUGUAUUCUCUUUUAAUUACGAGAUUUCGUUUACAUAUUAUUGAAUGAUAAUAAUGUAUUCAAAAAAUAUAAAUAGUAAAUUAAGAUGUUAUUCAAUCUUGAAUGAUCUUUUUUUUUUUUGAAGUCUCAAUCUUGAAUGAUCUAGACAAUAUUGCUAAUUAUAAUUUUAUAAUUUAAUAUCAUUUUAUCGUAAUUAUUUAUUCAAAAUGAUAUGAAAUAUUAAAAUUUUCAAUAUCAUUUAAAUUCUUUCUUAUUAUAUUUAUCGUGUUAAUAAAAUAAUUACAGGAAACAAUGAAGAUAAUGCUCCAAAAUAAACCUGCCCAAUUACGCCGAAGCAGUGUUACCACAAAAGAUGGUUUGGAAUCAGCUCAACACAUGCGCAAUAUCUCGGUGACUAUUCUGAGCAAACACUUCAACCGUGCAGUGGAGUUGCGCAACCAUCAUUUGAUGGCUUCUUCCUCCCAACCUGGAUGUGGAGAUUGAUGAUGAAAAUCAACUAUCAUGAUUCGGAUGCGGUAUAUAUAUGUGCUCACGCAUGUCAAAGAGAUGACAUUAACUCAUUCAGAACAUGCUAAGAUGAAGCUGUUGAAGAAAAGAAGCACCAUCUUCAGGAUCAGAGGGAAGUAUAUUUAAACAAAAAAAUGGGGAAUGGAUUGGAGCAGCAGCAGGAACAUAAUCAUAUAGAAGAAUCAGAAAAUGCAGAGACCAGUGGCCUUUGGGAUCGACUUUUAUAUUUAAACUAAAUGUAUCUUUCUUAAUCCGCACCUCUUAAUGUACAAUUGUAUAUAAGAAUGUAAGAAAACUAUCAGAUGUUGAAGUUGCAUUGUUAAUAUACAUUAGUUUGCUACACACACAUUGUAAUGAUAUUGUAUCAAAUGGAUGGUUUUUUAGUA